rnacentral:rRNA from 1 species
UUCGGACUUGGCUAGGGAGGUCGGCAACGACCACCCAGGGCCGGAAAGUUGGUCAAACUCGGUCACUUAGAGGAAGUAAAAGUCGUAACAAGGUCUCCGUAGGUGAACCUGCGGAGGGAUCAUUA